rnacentral:rRNA from 1 species
GGAAGUAAAAGUCGUAACAAGGUCUCCGUUGGUGAACCAGCGGAGGGAUCAUUACUGAGUUUACGCUCUAUAACCCUUUGUGAACAUACCUAUAACUGUUGCUUCGGCGGGUAGGGUCUCCGUGACCCUCCCGGCCUCCCGCCCCCGGGCGGGUCGGCGCCCGCCGGAGGAUAACCAAACUCUGAUUUAACGACGUUUCUUCUGAGUGGUACAAGCAAAUAAUCAAAACUUUUAACAACGGAUCUCUUGGUUCUGGCAUCGAUGAAGAACGCAGCGAAAUGCGAUAAGUAAUGUGAAUUGCAGAAUUCAGUGAAUCAUCGAAUCUUUGAACGCACAUUGCGCCCGCCAGCAUUCUGGCGGGCAUGCCUGUUCGAGCGUCAUUUCAACCCUCAAGCUCUGCUUGGUGUUGGGGCCCUACAGCUGAUGUAGGCCCUCAAAGGUAGUGGCGGACCCUCCCGGAGCCUCCUUUGCGUAGUAACUUUACGUCUCGCACUGGGAUCCGGAGGGACUCUUGCCGUAAAACCCCCAAUUUUCCAAAGGUUGACCUCGGAUCAGGUAGGAAUACCCGCUGAACUUAAGCAUAUCAAUA